CGCCGCGUGGGCGUGUCCUCGCCCUCCCCUCAGCGCGGGCGCCGCCAUGGAGCCGCUGCGGCCGCUGCUCGUCCCGUUCCUGCUGCCCGAGCGCUGCUUCGACGAGCUCUUCUUGCGCUUCCACCUCCUCAACGUUCCGUGUCUGAAAAUCCUCCUGAGCAAAGCCCUGGGAUACGCGAUCGUGGCGGGAUCCGUCCUGGUGAAGGUGCCUCAGGUGCUGAAGGUUUGGGGGUCCCGGGGUUGG